rnacentral:rRNA from 1 species
GUCCAUGGGGUAUCUAUACAUGCAGUCGACGCUUCUUUUCCCACCGGAGCUUGCUCCACCGGGAAAAGAGGAGUGGCGAACGGGUGAGUAACACGUGGGUAACCUGCCCAUCAGAAGGGGAUAACACUUGGAAACAGGUGCUAAUACCGUAUAACAAUCGAAACCGCAUGGUUUCGUUUUGAAAGGCGCUUUACGGUGCCGCUGAUGGAUGGACCCGCGGUGCAUUAGCUAGUUGGUGAGGUAACGGCUCACCAAGGCCACGAUGCAUAGCCGACCUGAGAGGGUGAUCGGCCACAUUGGGACUGAGACACGGCCCAAACUCCUACGGGAGGCAGCAGUAGGGAAUCUUCGGCAAUGGACGAAAGUCUGACCGAGCAACGCCGCGUGAGUGAAGAAGGUUUUCGGAUCGUAAAACUCUGUUGUUAGAGAAGAACAAGGGUGAGAGUAACUGUUCACCCCUUGACGGUAUCUAACCAGAAAGCCACGGCUAACUACGUGCCAGCAGCCGCGGUAAUACGUAGGUGGCAAGCGUUGUCCGGAUUUAUUGGGCGUAAAGCGAGCGCAGGCGGUUUCUUAAGUCUGAUGUGAAAGCCCCCGGCUCAACCGGGGAGGGUCAUUGGAAACUGGGAGACUUGAGUGCAGAAGAGGAGAGUGGAAUUCCAUGUGUAGCGGUGAAAUGCGUAGAUAUAUGGAGGAACACCAGUGGCGAAGGCGGCUCUCUGGUCUGUAACUGACGCUGAGGCUCGAAAGCGUGGGGAGCAAACAGGAUUAGAUACCCUGGUAGUCCACGCCGUAAACGAUGAGUGCUAAGUGUUGGGAGGGUUUCCGCCCUUCAGUGCUGCAGCUAACGCAUUAAGCACUCCGCCUGGGAAUAACGACCGCAAGGUUGAACCUAAAAGAAAUUACCGGGGCCCCCACCAAGGGUUGAGCAAGGUGGUUAAAUUGGAAGCAAGGGGAGAACCCUAACAGGGUCUGACCUCCCUUGGACCAUUUUGGGAUAGAGCCUUCCCUUUCGGGGCAAAAUGGCCGGUGGGGCCAGGGUUUUCUUCAGUUCGGUUGUGGGGAGGUGGGGUAAAUUCCGCCACGAGGGCCAACCUUUAUGUUUGGUGCCCUCCAUUAAUUGGGCCAUUUUGCCAGGAUGCCGGGGGCCAACCGGGAGAAAGGGGGGGAGGAGUUAAAUUCUCCUGCCCCUUUUGGCCUUGGGUUCCCCACUGGUUCCAAGGGAAAUUCAAAGGGGUGGGGAGGUGGGGGGGUUAAGUUAUUUUUUAAAAGUUUUUUCCAUUUGGGAUGUUGGGUGCAAAUUGCCUUCCAGGAACCGGGAUUCGUUGUUAUUGGGGGUUCACCCGGCGCGGGGGAUUAGUUUCCCGGCCUUGUUCCCCCCCCCCGGCCCCCCCCGGGGAGUUGGAACCCCCGAAAUUGGUGGAGUAACCUUUUUGGAGCCAGCCGCCUAAGGUGGGAUAGAUGAUGGGGGAAGUCGAUCAAGAGCUUGCCG